GAUACUGAAUGAGUAGAGAUUUCCUGGGAAAAUCUUGGAAAGGGCAGACUUCAUUAAAUAAAAUUACAUAAAUAGUUUCAUUUCUGCACAAAUGAACAGUGCGCUAGAGACAUUGCACAUUGUUGCAAUUAAUUGUUUUAUAGUUUGCCCUAGUUUCAGCCAAAGACAUGAGGGGGUGGAGCCUAGAGCCAUGCGGGCAUGUGUAGGUUGUUGUUCUAUGGCAGUGCCACCAUUGUUGGGGCUGGAAGUAGGGGAUUCUCACUUCUGAGAAGGUCAAUAAAAUGGAUUAUUCAUCAGCUCAAAGGCACAAAACAUUAUGACAGAGUGUUCUGAGCACCAGCACUGCUCCUUCUUGCUGAGACAUGGAGGUGUUGGAGCAAGUUCAGAGAAGGGCAGUGGAGCUGGAGAGUAAAUCAAGUGAGGAGCAACUGAGAGAGCUGGGGGUGUUUAUCCUGGAGAAAAGGAGGCUUACGGGGGACCUUACCACUCUCUACAAAUGCCUGACAGGAGAUUGUAGCAAGGCGGGUGUUGACCUCUUCUCCCAAGCAACCAGCAGCAGGACAAGAGGAAAUGGUCUCAAGCUGUGCCUGGGAAGGUUCAGGCUGGACAUCAGGAAGAAUUUUGUCACUGAAGAGUGGAAUUGGAACAGUGUGCCCAGUGGGGUUGUGAAGUCACUUUGCCUGGAAAUAUUCAAGAAGUGACUGAACAUGACAGUGCUGUGAUUUAGUUGAUUGACGGUUUUUGGUUGAAGGUUGGACUUCACGAUCUUGGAGGUUAUUUCCAAAUUUAACGAUUCUAUGAACCUAUGAAACUUCAGAGGAGAUUGCAUCUUGCUUAUUUAAGGACAAAUUUGCAAAAUCAUAUGUAAAAAUAGAAAUAUUACCUUAUGAAGCCAAUUUAAUUUUCAGCAUCUCCUAUCUUCUUUCUCACUAAGUAAAAACAAAAUAAAAAAAACCCUACCGUACCGCAAAAAAAAUCACAUUUGAAGAGCAUUACACUGCAAGUUAUGUUCUAAGCAGCAGCUAUGAGAGGCAGUGAUUUUUGAUAGGUGAGCAUUUGAUCAACUGUCAGAAACAGAACUCACAUCAAUAUCAGCCUGAAUCAAUGCUCUGACAUGCACUGACACUUUUCACAGAACUCCAGUGAGCGAUGCUGCUUUUCUCCAAGAUUUGUCCCACUCAGGCUGGCAACAAUGAAUCAAGAAAGCUGUGUAGACAAAUCUCCGAUGAUCAGGUGAGCGAUGUGGAUGAAGAAAGCAUUAGUGCAGGACAACCCUGUAGACCAGGCUGUGUUUUCCUGUCUGACCUCCAGUCAGGAUGGAGAACAGUUUUUGACAGACUCGCUUGGUUUAUAGGGCCGUACAAAAAAGACUUGCUCUAUAAGUAGUGGCUCAGUAGUCAUCCUGUACUUUCUCUGUGCCUUUCUCUGUGCAUAAUAUAGGGGGAGUUGUUUUUUCGAGGCUCUUUCAGAAUCUUAUUUUCCAAUGUCACUUCUUACCUCUCUCAAACAAAAAUAUUUGAGAAUUUUUCCUAAAAGUCCUCUAUCCUAACAGCAACUGUUGAGCAGAAUAACCUCAGAACAAACAUGAGAAGUGGCAUUUUCAUUAAAACAACUGCAAUUUCCCUGCUACUUGUAUAAGUUUAUUAUUCCAUUAUUGAUGUUGGCCAAGAUCCAGGCCCAUUGUACCAUCUUAAAAAAUGUGCUACAAAGUGAAUUUGGUACUACAAUAAAGUGCAUCUGUCACCCCAAUUAUGCAAAGCAACUGGUUGACUGCAAAACUGCAUCAAAAAUUGAAUUAGGAUCUUUCAUCCAUUUAUACAAGAAAUGCCAACAUGAAAUACAUGUUUAUUUUGUAGUAAAGGUACUAUAUUACCACUGCUACAGAAAAUUGAGUCUGUAUGAGAAUGUACUUACCAUAAUAAAA